CGUAGGUGGCAAGCGUUGUCCGGAUUUAUUGGGUUUAAAGGGUGCGUAGGCGGUUCCAUAAGUCAGUGGUGAAAUACGGCAGCUCAACUGUCGAGGUGCCAUUGAUACUGCGGAACUUGAGUACUGAUGAGGUAGGCGGAAUUGACGGUGUAGCGGUGAAAUGCUUAGAUAUCGUCAAGAACACCGAUAGCGAAGGCAGCUUACCAAGCAGUAACUGACGCUGAGGCACGAAAGUGCGGGGAUCAAACAGGAUUAGAUACCCUGGUAGUCCGCACAGUAAACGAUGAUUACUCGAUGUUGGCGAUACACAGCCAGCGUCUAGCGAAAGCGAUAAGUAAUCCACCUGGGGAGUACGCCCGCAAGGGUG
rnacentral:rRNA from 1 species